AUUUAAGUUAGUGCUGUAAAGAUCAUAAGCCUUUGUCUACUUCAAGGCAUAAAGACAUCCUCUUUACCUAUCAGUUUUGCUGUUUUGUUGUUGUUUUCUAAAGAUUUAUUUAUUUACACUAUGGGUCUUUUCAGACACACCAGAAGAGAGUGUUCCCCAAUAAGAGCAGAUCCCAUUACAGAUGGUUGUUAGCCACCAUGUGGUUGCUAGGAAUUGAACUCAGGAUCUCUAGAAAAGCAGUGCUCUUAGCUGCUGAGCCAUCUCUCCAGCCCUUGUUUUGUUUUGUUUCUUAAUGUCACAUUUCCAUCUAUAUUCUGCUGGAAUUUACUUAGUGCCUCUUUGGUAUUUAUCAGCAAGUCAAAAGACAGCAUUCUUGAGCAGUAAAAGGGUGGGUGAUUCUGGGAGCUACAGAGAGACAUUGGCAUUUGAAUCGACAACAAAAGAUGCUCACCCAGAAAAGAUAAAAAAAAAAAAAAAAAAAAAAAAAAAAACCUCCCACCAACCAAUACAAGCAAUCCAAAUUGAGCAUAUUGAAAUCUGAAAUGCUCCCCUUAGGAAUUGAAAGUGAACUGCAGCCCACAAGCUCAUGCUUUGAACACUUAGUCCCCAGCUGGUGUCUGCUAACUGGGGGUGUGGCUGGGAGCUUUGGGACAAGGGGGCCAGUUAAAGGAAGUGAGUCGUUGCUGGUUAUGCUUUGGAAGGAGUAGUCCCCAGUCCUGACCUCUUUUUCUGUUUCCCACCGGCCACGAGGUAAAGAACUUAUUUCACCAUAGGCUUCAUGGGGUUCUUCCUAGUCGAGGCCCAGGAGCAAGGACUGUGCAUUGAUGUCUCUGAAAGUGUGAGAUAAAACAAGUCCUUCAUCAGUGAGUUAUUUGUGAGCGAGCUACAUGGACAUAACCAGCACACUUCCAAAUCUUGGGAGAAUCGUUGGCAUGAUGUUGCAAGUGGAAAAUUCCACAUUGCAUAGUUUGUUUAGUGAACAAAAUUAUUUAAAACACUGUGUAAGAACAGAAGUUAGGCACGGGUGGGCUCGGUUAUAAUCCCAGUCUAUGCUUUCAGGAGGCUGAGGCAAGAGGAUCCCAAAUUCAAAGUCCAGCCUGAGCUACCAGGGAGAGUUUUGCCAGCGUGGCUAUAUGACGGAACUCCAUCUUCAAUAAGGAUGAAGGAAGGGUGGUGGUAGGUCAGUGGGACAACAUUUGUUAGAUACACAAAGGCCUUGUCUCAGUCAACAGCAAGAAAAAGGAGAAAGAAAAAAGGUUGCACAUAAAAUUGCCUUCAGAUCGUGUGUAAAAUAUAUGUGAAAUAGAAAUGAAUUUUAUACCUAGACUUAGAUACUAUCCCCAAGAUAACUCAUUACAUAUAUACAGCUAUUCUAAAACCCAAAGGAAAAUCUGGAACAGUUCUGGAUUCAAGCAUUUCGGCUAAGGGUUAGGCCACCAUUAUAGCCAAGUAGAAAAGGAACUGAGCUAAAUAACAUCUCCACAUACAUGACC
rnacentral:lncRNA from 1 species